AACGAACGCUGGCGGCAUGCCUAACACAUGCAAGUCGAACGAAGCCUUCGGGCUUAGUGGCGCACGGGUGCGUAACGCGUGGGAAUCUGCCCUUGGGUUCGGAAUAACAGUUAGAAAUGACUGCUAAUACCGGAUGAUGUCUUCGGACCAAAGAUUUAUCGCCCAAGGAUGAGCCCGCGUAGGAUUAGGUAGUUGGUGGGGUAAAGGCCUACCAAGCCGACGAUCCUUAGCUGGUCUGAGAGGAUGAUCAGCCACACUGGGACUGAGACACGGCCCAGACUCCUACGGGAGGCAGCAGUGGGGAAUAUUGGACAAUGGGGGCAACCCUGAUCCAGCAAUGCCGCGUGAGUGAUGAAGGCCUUAGGGUCGUAAAGCUCUUUUACCAGGGAUGAUAAUGACAGUACCUGGAGAAUAAGCUCCGGCUAACUCCGUGCCAGCAGCCGCGGUAAU
rnacentral:rRNA from 1 species